rnacentral:rRNA from 1 species
GACGAACGCUGGCGGCGUGCCUAACACAUGCAAGUCGUGCGCCCGCAAGGGCGCGGCGAACGGGUGAGUAAUGGCAAGGAACGUGCCUUAUCCCGGGAAAUACCCCACCGAAAGGUGGGCUAAUGUCCCAUAGUCUCGCAAGAGUAAAGCUCCGGCGGGAUAAGAUCGGCCUUGCUCCUAUCAGCUAGUUGGUGAGGUAAUGGCUUACCAAGGCGACGACGGGUAGGGGGUCUGAGAGGAUGAUCCCCCACAUAGGGACUGAGACACGGCCCUAACACCUACGGGUGGCAGCAGUUGGGAAUAUUGCACAAUGGGCGACAGCCUGAUGCAGCGACGCCGCGUGAAGGAAGAAGGCCUUCGGGUUGUAAACUUCUUUUGUGAGGGAAGAUUGUGACGGUACCUCACGAAUAAGGACCUGCUAACUACGUGCCAGCAGCAGCGGUAAUACGUAGGGUCCAAGCGUUGUCCGGAUUUAUUGGGCGUAAAGAGUAUGUAGGUGGUAUUUUAAGUCGAAUUUUAAAGUCUUAGGCUUAACUUAAGUUUUGGAUUCGAAACUAAAAUACUUUGAGAAUAGCAGGGGCAAGCGGAACUCCCGGUGUAGCAGUGAAAAUGCGUUGAUAUCGGGAAGAACACCAAUGGCGAAGGCAGCUUGCUAGGCUAUUUCUGACACUGAGAUACGAAAGCGUGGGGAGCGAACGGGAUUAGAUACCCCGGUAGUCCACGCCGUAAACGAUGCAGACUAGCUAUCAGAAGUAUCGACCCUUCUUGUAGCGAAGCUAACGCGUUAAGUCUGCCGCCUGGGAAGUACGGUCGCAAGACUAAAACUCAAAGGAAUUGACGGGGGCUCGCACAAGCGGUGGAGCAUGUGGUUUAAUUCGACGAUAAGCGAAAAACCUUACCAGGGCUUGACAUCUAGGGAAUCCUGCGGAAACGCGGGAGUGCUCGCAAGAGAACCCUAAGACAGGUGCUGCACGGUUGUCGUCAGCUCGUGCUGUAGAGUGUGGCCUUAAGUGGUCCAACGAGCGAAACCUGUAUCCUGUGUUAAUUUCCACAGGAGACUGCCGUAGUUUAUACGGAGGAAGGUGCAGAUGACGUCAAAUCAGCGUGGCUCUUACGUCCUGGGCAACACACGUGCUACAAUGGCAAAGAUAAAGAGUCGCAAUCCCGCAAGGGAAAGCAAAUCUCCUAAAAAUUGCCCCAGUACGGAUUGAGGGCUGCAAUUCGCCCUCAUGAAGUUGGAAUCGCUAGUAAUCGUGGGUCAGCACACCACGGUGAAUACGUUCUCGAGUCUUGUACACACCGCCCGUCAAGUGAGCCGAGUCGGCGGGGCCCGAACUCCGUGAAUACGGGGAACGGCCAAGUCGGUAAGGAGCACUAAGUCGUAACAAGGUAUCCGUAGGGGAAUC